GGACGAACGCUGGCGGCGUGCCUAACACAUGCAAGUCGAACGGAAGUUAGAGCUUCGGUUUUAACUUUAGUGGCGAACGGGUGAGUAACGCGUGAGGAACCUGCCUUUCAGUGGGGGACAACAGUUGGAAACGACUGCUAAUACCGCAUGACACUUUUGAGGGACAUCCCUUAAAAGUCAAAGCUUUAUGUGCUGAAAGAUGGCCUCGCGUCUGAUUAGCUAGUUGGUGAGGUAACGGCUCACCAAGGCGACGAUCAGUAGCCGGUCUGAGAGGAUGAACGGCCACAUUGGGACUGAGAUACGGCCCAGACUCCUACGGGAGGCAGCAGUGGGGAAUAUUGGGCAAUGGGGGAAACCCUGACCCAGCAACGCCGCGUGAAGGAAGAAGGCCUUCGGGUUGUAAACUUCUUUUACCAGGGACGAAGGACGUGACGGUACCUGGAGAAAAAGCAACGGCUAACUACGUGCCAGCAGCCGCGGUAAUACGUAGGUUGCAAGCGUUGUCCGGAUUUACUGGGUGUAAAGGGCGUGUAGGCGGAGAUGCAAGUUGGGAGUGAAAUCCAUGGGCUCAACCCAUGAACUGCUCUCAAAACUGUAUCCCUUGAGUAUCGGAGAGGCAAGCGGAAUUCCUAGUGUAGCGGUGAAAUGCGUAGAUAUUAGGAGGAACACCAGUGGCGAAGGCGGCUUGCUGGACGACAACUGACGCUGAGGCGCGAAAGCGUGGGGAGCAAACAGGAUUAGAUACCCUGGUAGUCCACGCUGUAAACGAUGAAUACUAGGUGUGGGAGGACUGACCCCUUCCGUGCCGCAGUUAACACAAUAAGUAUUCCACCUGGGGAGUACGACCGCAAGGUUGCAACUCAAAUGAAUUGACGG
rnacentral:rRNA from 1 species